rnacentral:ncRNA from 1 species
GAUAACUGGCUUGUGGCGGCCAAGCGUUCAUAGCGACAUCGCUUUUUGAUCCUUCGAUGUCGUCUCUUCCUAUCAUUGUGAAGCAGAAUUCACCAAGCGUUGGAUUGUUCACCCACUAAUAGGGAACGUGAGCUGGGAUUAGACCCUCGUGAGACAGGUU